GGUUAAGCGACUAAGCGUACACGGUGGAUGCCCUGGCAGUCAGAGGCGAUGAAGGACGUGCUAAUCUGCGAAAAGCGUCGGUAAGGUGAUAUGAACCGUUAUAGCCGGCGAUGUCCGAAUGGGGAAACCCAGUGCAAUUCGUUGCACUAUCGUUAACUGAAUACAUAGGUUAACGAGGCGAACCGGGGGAACUGAAACAUCUAAGUACCCCGAGGAAAAGAAAUCAACCGAGAUUCCCCCAGUAGCGGCGAGCGAACGGGGAGCAGCCCGGAGUCUGAAUCAGCUUGUGUGUUAGUGGAAGCGUCUGGAAAGUCGCAGGGUACAGGGUGAUACUCCCGUACACUAAAACACACAGGCUGUGAACUCGAAGAGUAGGGCGGGACACGUGGUAUCCUGUCUGAAUAUGGGGGGACCAUCCUCCAAGGCUAAAUACUCCUGACUGACCGAUAGUGAACCAGUACCGUGAGGGAAAGGCGAAAAGAACCCCGGCGAGGGGAGUGAAAAAGAACCUGAAACCGUGUACGUACAAGCAGUAGGAGCCCACUUGUUGGGUGACUGCGUACCUUUUGUAUAAUGGGUCAGCGACUUAUAUUCUGUAGCAAGGUUAACCGUAUAGGGGAGCCGCA
rnacentral:rRNA from 1 species